rnacentral:lncRNA from 1 species
CUUUUUUGGUUUUAGCAUUAUUUUCACCUCAGAUAUCUAAAUUCAGAGUUACUGUAAACUGCCAUGUAUGUUAACUUUUUCAGUGGCUGAUUUGAGUUAGAAUUUUUUUUAAAUAUUCUCUGUUUUAGUGCUCACUUUCUCUUUUUUUCCCUGUGAGACAAGCAUAAUUUUACGUAUAAAAGCAUGUGCAAACUCAAAUGCAGUCCAAAGUGCAAAUAUCCCUGGGGAAAUAAUUUUUUUAUAUUCUCUGUUGCUGAGCUGCCAUAAAUGUUGUGGUUUAGUGCUUGUAAUUUUCUGAAGCCAGUACAGAAUGAAAUUAGUUUUUCAGAUCCUGUGCAGGGCAUUUUUUUUUUAUUUUUUUUUAAUUUUUUUUUUUUCCAGAACAGUUGAACAGAUUUGCAGGCUUUGGAAUUGGCCUUGCAAGCCUAUUUACAGAAAAUGUGUUGGCACAUCCCUGCAUUGUUCUACGUCGCCAGUGUCAGGUUAAUUAUCAUGCUCGGAAUUACCAUCUCACUCCAUUUACUAUUGUCAAUAUUAUGUACUGCAUCAAUAAGACACAGGUCAGUAUUUGGUGACAGGCUGUAUCUGAGCAGUGUACGUUGAAAUCUGUAAGUCUUUAUGUAUUUGUUGUUUAAAAACAUGGCCAUUAUAAGGGUUUAUUAUUUGGAGAAAUGUUUCAAGAUCAUUGUAAGUCAUUUUUUUAAGUAUAGUACUUAGUGGAGACAAUUUGUAGAUGUUGCAGAAAACAAAAGGUCCCUGAAACUUAAUUUUUUUUCAUUAGUAUUCUAAAAGAUGAUUAAUCUUUAUGUGGAUAAUAAUAAUAUCUAAGCAACUACUUUCAAUGAUAAUAUGGAAUUAAUUUCCAGUUCUGCAUGGGAAUGACAAUCCUGAAACUCAGAUGAGAAGGCAGUAAGAAAAGACUUUCUGAAUUUCUUA